UCGUUAUAAUGCAAACAGGGACGCCGGAACGAUAAUAGGGCAAAGGGGGGCGGACGCACACCAAGGGCACCUUUACUGAAAAUUUUUUUUUCACUGCAAAAUUUUUUGGCGACCCCCCCCCGUCGCCAAAAAAAUUUCGGUCAGUGUACCAUUUUAGGGGUCAAAAAUUUUUUCCGGACAUACAAAAAUUUUCCGUGAAACAAAAAAUUUUUCCGGAUAUCUUAAAUUUUCGCCAUUUCUUCAAAAUAUUUUUCUAAAUUCCAAAAAUUUCCCAAAAUUUUUA